AGCCGCGGGCCACACCCACCCAACCCGCUGCGCCCGCGGUGCUCACCUUCUCUCGAGGAAGGAGCUGCGCUAGCCUCCUGGAUGGGGAGGUGUCGGGGGCAAGCUGCAACCUUCUCCCAAUGCUCCCAAUUGGGGAGAGGGUGGUCUGGUCUCAGGCGGGGUUUGUUGGGGAGACCUGGGAACCUGGUUCAACAUCCCCAAAGCAUCGUUGCCAACUUUUCCUUCCCCCUCCCUUUUGGCUGCCCCUCAAAGAUGAUCCAAUAAUUUUUGCAACUCACCUUUGGCUUUGAAGGCACAUGGGUGAGUUGUGAACUGGGACAGGAACCGCCUUCCCUCUCCGAGACUGAAGGUUGUUUAUCCUUCCUUUCUUUCCCUUCCACCCCCUUCUAUGGAAAGACAAAUACUCAAUUUACAUAAGAUGACUUUUAUGUGGCACUUAAAAAGAUUCCCCCAUGGAAUGUUGUGAACACAUUUGCUUAUAGGAGAAAUAAAUCUAAUAAUAAACAAACAGCACAAAUCCUCUGACGGGUUAAAUGGUCUACACAACAAAGAGGAAGAUGGUGAAUGUGGAAAUAAGCCCUUUCUGCAACAAGAAAGAAAUAUGAGCUCAAAGGGAGUCCCAGAAGCGUUUCUCUUCCUUGGCCUUCAUUCACAAAGUCUGGGAAGGCUUGUUUGGCAAGACUGAGGAACUGGGGUACCACCUCCAGACCUGACUCUAGCUCUGAGUUGGUAGGAUUUUCCCAAGCCUAAACUCAGUGCCAGAAAACAGAUGUCACAAGCUGUUAGCAUGUAACAAAAAUGGUCAAAUACCUGGAUUCAAAUCCUGGCUUUGCAGUUGAGAAGCUACUUGAUGUGGGCAAGCGCAUUCGUCUCUCUGGGUCUCUUUCUUCUAUAGAAUAGGAUGGUUGGAGGGUUCCUGAAGCCGUGUGUAUAUAUACAUAUAUGUAUAUAUGUUUGCAUACAUUCUAUAUGUGUAAAGCAGGAGCCUGGCUCAGAAUGCACAGUGCACAUUAGCACUUUCCCUGGUGUUUAUGUUUUGGAAGGGUGAAUAUGCUCCCUGAAAGCUCUUAACACUGGAAAUACUGGAGAACAAUGAUUUCUAUCUUGUCCUCUAUGAUGACAUAUACAAGAUCUCCCAGUUAGGGCAAAAAGAAGUAGAAGAGAAAAAACUGUGCUAGAUGGUAGGCUUCAUGGUCAAGGUCCAGAUGGCAGUCUUAACCACACAUCUGAAGUGGGAAUGGAGGCACCAAUUUACAGUGGCACAGUCCAAAGGAAGCACUCUGGGUCUAGAUAUAGCGGGUUUACAUACAGGAAAGGACUGGACAGGCUCCUCCUCUUAGCCAUCAAGAUCCUGUGAGCCUUGGCAGGCAGUUAUAAAAUGACCUAGCGAGAUGGAAGAGGGCGAAGAUGACCAUCUCCUGUGCUGUGCACUAUGCCAGUCAUCCCAUUUCAUCCUCAGAAAAAUCCCAUUUUAUCUAUUCAGAAAGGUUUCGUGACUCACCAACAAUCACACGAGCUAGGAAGUGGUGGCAGAGUUGGCACCUGGUUUGGAUGCCCCCAAGAUUAUGUGUUGUCCAUUUUACCAUGCUGCCAGAAUUAAAAGGUUACUUUGCUGUCCUAUGGAGGACAGACUGAAAGCGGAAAGGCUGAAGCUGGAAGACAGGUGAGGAGGUCACUGAAAUAAACCAGACUCUCAGACUCAGCCCAGUGGCCACAGAUGGCAGAAGGCAAAGAAGAUCCCUGGGGCUUCUAAACACUUCCCCAGAAACUGGCAGCAGGCAGUAACUCCGGCCAAGUCAGGGGCCAGCUUGACCAGACACUCAUCAAAGUGUGAGACGCCCCGCGUGGAGCUGAGGGACCCGGCUCUGUCCAAGAACCAUCAAGAACCAAAGGCGCUGGCUCCAAGUCAAGUUGAACAGGGUGUGUAGAAGCUGGCUGCCAUGUUGUAAGUACACUCAAGCAACCCUAUGGAGGAUGACAGGUGGUAAGAAACUAAGGUGUAUUGUCAACAGCCAGAACCAACUUGCCAGGAGUGCUGCAGUCUCAGUCAAGCCUUCAAAUGACCACAGCUCUGUCUGACAUCCUGACUGCAAUCUCAUGAAACAGCUCCAGCCAGAACCAUGCAGCUAGGUCACUUGCGAAUUCCUGAUAUGUCACAGAAAGUGGGAGACAGUAAAUGUUUAUUGUUGUUUUAA